rnacentral:piRNA from 1 species
UGCUGAAUUGAAACCUGAGAGAGA